UACAUAUUGUACUUACUUGACUGUCUUGAAAUGUGUCCAUAAUCAGACUUUAUUGACAUGGAAAAAUGUCUGGAAACUUCCUCCCAGUUUUGCUGAUAUCAUAUUGGAUGGAAAUAAUUUGGAUGAGCUACUAGUUCCCAUGGUCGAAUAGUUCAUGCAGCCAACUAAGGAUCUUCAGUUUAUAUACAUCCCAAUGAGAUACAUUGAGCAUCAGUACCUCAUGGUUACAGCAUACAUGAUAGCGUAAUUUGGCAACUGGAUUCUUAUUUAGAAGAUGACGAUAUUCAGCGUCAUAGAAACAAGAUGACAACAGUGGUUAGUGACAUUGUAAUUAAUACCCUCAAUCAGGGACGGAUCCAAG